rnacentral:rRNA from 1 species
GACGAACGCUGGCGGCGUGCUUAACACAUGCAAGUCGAACGCUGAAGCUCAGCUUUUGUUGGGUGGAUGAGUGGCGAACGGGUGAGUAACACGUGAGUAACCUGCCUCCUUCUUUGGGAUAACGCCCGGAAACGGGUGCUAAUACUGGAUAUUCACUGGUCUUCGCAUGGGGGUUGGUGGAAAGGGUUUUUCUGGUGGGGGAUGGGCUCGCGGCCUAUCAGCUUGUUGGUGGGGUGAUGGCCUACCAAGGCUUUGACGGGUAGCCGGCCUGAGAGGGUGACCGGUCACAUUGGGACUGAGAUACGGCCCAGACUGCUACGGGAGGCAGCAGUGGGGAAUAUUGCGCAAUGGGCGCAAGCGUGAUGCAGCGGCGCCGCGUGAGGGAUGGAGGCCUUCGGGUUGUGAACCUCUUUCGCUCAUGGUCAAGCCGCAACAAUGGUUGUGGUGAGGGUAGUGGGUAAAGAAGCGCCGGCUAACUACGUG